AUUGAACGCUGGCGGCAGGCCUAACACAUGCAAGUCGAGCGGAUGAAGGGAGCUUGCUCCUGGAUUCAGCGGCGGACGGGUGAGUAAUGCCUAGGAAUCUGCCUGGUAGUGGGGGAUAACGUCCGGAAACGGGCGCUAAUACCGCAUACGUCCUGAGGGAGAAAGUGGGGGAUCUUCGGACCUCACGCUAUCAGAUGAGCCUAGGUCGGAUUAGCUAGUUGGUGGGGUAAAGGCCUACCAAGGCGACGAUCCGUAACUGGUCCGAGAGGAUGAUCAGUCACACUGGAACUGAGACACGGUCCAGACUCCUACGGGAGGCAGCAGUGGGGAAUAUUGGACAAUGGGCGAAAGCCUGAUCCAGCCAUGCCGCGUGUGUGAAGAAGGUCUUCGGAUUGUAAAGCACUUUAAGUUGGGAGGAAGGGCAGCAAGUUAAUACCUUGCUGUUUUGACGUUACCAACAGAAUAAGCACCGGCUAACUUCGUG
rnacentral:rRNA from 1 species